AUUCGGCAUGAUAACUAGACGACGGUCUCAAAAAUACCUACGACUCCAGUCUUUUAAGUUGCCGAUAGAUAAACUUGCAAAGAUCUUACACGUUCUCCGAAUUUACCCAUGUAGUCCAACGUUUAAUCUUGCGCAACAUUC
rnacentral:snoRNA from 1 species